rnacentral:tRNA from 1 species
GGCGCGUUCGUCUAGAGGCCCAGGACACCGCCCUCUCAAGGCGGAGAUCAAGGGUUCGAAUCCCUUACGCGCUACCA